rnacentral:rRNA from 1 species
GACGAACGCUGGCGGCAGGCCUAACACAUGCAAGUCGAGCGAGCGGCGGACGGGUGAGUACUGUAUGGGGACUGCCCGAUAGAGGGGGAUAACUACUGGGAACGGUGACUAAUACCCCAUACUGUCGGCGCACCCAUAUGUGAUUAGCUAGUAGGUAAGGUAAUGGCUAACCGAGGCGACGAUCCCUAGCUGGUCUGAGAGGAUGAUCAGUCACACGGGGACUGAGACACGGCCCAGACUCCUACGGAGGCAGCAGUGGGGAAUAUUGCACAAUGGGCGCAAGCCUGAUGCAGCCAUGCCGCGUGUAUGAAGAAGGCCCUAGGGUUGUAAAGUACUUUCAGUCGGGAGGCGUUACCGACAGAAGAAGCACCGGCUAACUCCGUGCCAGCAGCCGCGGUAAUAC